rnacentral:lncRNA from 1 species
CAACCAUUAAUUCUUAAAUGUGUUAAGAUUAUUUGAUGUCAUGGUAAAAUGUUUAUGAAAUAUUACAUUUUAAAAGUGUAGUAUAGUAACCUACAAUGUGAUACCAAUUCUGUAAAACAGUAAAUGUAUUAAUGAAACACUCUAAGUAAAGGAAAAGUGAGUAGUUAUCGCUCUUUUUUAGUAUGUUUUAAUUGAUAUAUCAUGGUUAUAUAUAUUUUUGGGGUACAUGUGAUAUUUUGAUACAUGUAUACAACAUGUAAUGAUCAAGUCAGGGUAAUUGGGAUGUCUGUCACCUCAAACAUUUAUCUUUUUUUGUGUCAUGAACAUUAUAAUUCUUUCCUUGUAGUUGUUUUAAAAUAUACAAUAAAUUAUUAUUCAUUAUAAUUUUUUAAUUAAAUAUUUUUAAAAUUUUUAUUAUUUUUAUUUUUUUUAGAGACAGGAUCUUGCUGGUCACCCAGACUGGAGUGCAAUGGUGCAAUCAUAGUUCACUGCAGCCUCGAACUCUUGGGCUCAAGCAGUCCUCCUACCUCAGCCUCCAGAGUUGUUAUCUAUAAUUUUGAACAGUAGUUAUCUGUAACAGUGAGAAGCAAAGGUUUUCCUCAUUUCCUCUUUUACAGUUUCUGUAUUUUCCAUAAUUGAUACAUCAUCACAUAUUACAAUUAUGAUGAGAAAACAUGAUACAUAUUUUUAUUUGGAAAAUACAUAAAUAAAAACAAAAUCUAUGACCUCACCGUUCAGACUCAACAUCUCUUCCAUUUUGAUGUCAUGCGAUGUUUCUGACGGAGGUUUAAUUGAAAUGAAACAGCAUCAAUAAGCAUGGGCUCCACAGUCUUCCCACAUCGCUCUGAGUGCCCGGGGAGGGACUGGGGACUCCCCCCACACAUUAACCCACGAGGACCUCUCACAUGGACCUUUUUACAUUCUCUCUAAUCUUUCCCAAAGCCUUGCAAGGUGGGAGUAAUAUUAUUAUUCCCAUUUCAGAGAUGACAAAACUAAGAAACUCGUCCUCUGUGAGUUUCUGUGCUAUUAGGCUGUGUCUCAUGUCCCCGUACAAAGUAUCUUUGUAUGGGAGGCCUAAUGGUUAAGAGCAUGGACUUCUGUCCGACAGAAUUCAUUAAGUUCCAGGCCAGACACACUGCCGCUCUCUGGGAAUGUGUCCAUGGGCUAGGGGUGGCACUGAGCUUCCAUUCCAUUUCUUAUAAAAUAAUGACGACAAGAUCGUUUUCCUUAAAGGGUGGCUGUGAGCCUUCAAUUACACAGUGAUGAAAAGACCUUAGCACAGUGCUGGGCAACGGCUAGCUACUUCAGAGGCACAGCUGAGACUUGCACAGAGGUACCUGGCUGCAAAGUCCGGCUCCUCUACACUCUGCAGAGCUGUUUUCCCCCUUCAGAGCUCCUCUCCUCCGGGAGGGCUUGCCUCGCCCCGGUCCAGGAUCUCUGCCUUCGGUUGAAGCGCAGCGCCCCCAGCCGUCCGCAGGAGGGAUCGACGCCUCUGUCUCCCCGAAGUGAGGGCGCUCGCUGCGGAGCUGGGGGUGGUCUCCUCUUCCCCCCAUCGCGGCCCAGCAACCUGGGGGUCCGCGUGACUUCUCCCUGGCCGGGGGAUGGAGGAUGCGCUCUCCUCUGUCCCUUCAAGGCCUCUUCCUCGUCCCAGGUCGAGUCUCCUCCUUGCUGACCAGGCAUCGCGAGCAGAUGAAUCCUCUGGGCGGUUGUCCCUGUCAGGCUGUCAGGACCUGAUUUUCCCUGGUUCACUAAAGCACCAGAAGGUAUGAAGGCGGAGAGAGGAAACAGGGCAAUGGAAUGAACACUUCUCAAGAAUCUCUCAGGUGCCACGGACUGAGCCAGGUGCCUUCCAUGUGUUAUCUCAUUUUACAGGGCAGGUAACAUUUCUGAAAGGUCAGGCAGCUAAAAAGCAGACAGCUUUCUGGCACAUUAGAGAAACAAAAGAAAUGUUGGAGACUGGAAUGCCUGCUGUGUCAAGGCACCUAAUUAGAAAACAACGUCAGAGUGAAUUUGUCGUGCGAGUCUCCAGCUCUGCCAGAAGAACUAAAAGAAAUGUGUCACCAGAGGAAUCACAAAUUGCUUUGGAAAUCAUGUGGACCUAGCUCUUGGCAACACAGAAUCCACAUCUAACCUCGUUCUACUCAGCUCUGCUGUCCCAAAGACCCCGCACCUGAUGAAUCAGCUGGCACCACCCAGAUUGAAAAACUGGCUCAUCUGAUCUUGUGGCCCCCUACCCAGGAACUGACUCAGCGCAAGAGGACAGCUUCGACUGCCUGUGACUUCAUCUCCAACCCAGCCAAUCAGCACUCCCAAAUCACUGCCCCCACCCACCAAAUUAUCCUUAAAAAUUCGGAUCCCCCUUGGGGAUACUGAUUUGAGUAAUAAUAAAACUCUGGUCUCCUGCAUGGCCAGC